GAUGGACUCACCUCCUGUGCCACCCUUGCUCUGGUGUCCUUUGAAAGCCGGCAGUGUCACCUCUUCAAAAGUGAGUGUAAAGCUGGAACUCUUCUACAGCUGUCCUGGAAUGCUGGGGGAGAGUGGCAUGAAGGGACAAAGAAGGCAACGAUUAGGCACGGAAAUAAUUUGGGCUACUGCCUGUGUUGGAGAUAACUCUCCGUAAGAGAUGCUGGCUCGGAUGUUUCUUUCUCUCCAUCCACAGGCAAGACAACCAGGACACCAAAUUAGAGGAGCUCUGUCUGGUGCCUCAUCCUCUGAGCAUUUCUUCCCAUCCUGAGCCUCUGCUACUGAAUUCUUGUGUGCUGAGAUGGUGCUGCAGUUUUAAGUGGCUGGAAACUUUUUCCAAAGGAAGAGCAGGUCCAGUUUGGAAACAACAUCUUUUUUAAUCUUCUCUCUUGACUGUUGUCUGCUGCUUUUCUGAGUUAUUCAGCAAGUUGCAACACAAAGACACAAAGAGAGAUGUACUGUUAUUAUUGGUGGUUGUUGUUCCUAAGUCUUUAUUGAUUUUUAUGAAAGAAAUAAUAACAAUGUGCAUGAGGUAUCCAGCUAACAAAAGAAGUCCUGCAGUACUCAUCUCGAAUUAAAUAUAGAGAAGCAGAAUCCAACUGGGAUAUUGACAGGCAAAUACAAAGCUUUGUGUCUCAGGGUAGUGCUGGAGUGAAAGCAGGACUCUG
rnacentral:lncRNA from 1 species